UACAGAGGUCUCAAGCGUUGUUCGGAUUCAUUGGGCGUAAAGGGUGUGUAGGUGGCGCUGUAAGUCGGGUGUGAAAUUUCGGAGCUUAACUCCGAAACUGCAUUCGAUACUGCGGUGCUUGAGGACUGGAGAGGAGACUGGAAUUCAUGGUGUAGCAGUGAAAUGCGUAGAGAUCAUGAGGAAGACCAGUGGCGAAGGCGGGUCUCUGGACAGCUCCUGACACUGAGACACGAAGGCCAGGGGAGCAAACGGG
rnacentral:rRNA from 1 species